ensembl:lncRNA
UAGGGUUCCAUUUAGAACACAGCAUAGGGUUCCAUUUAGAACACAGCAUAGGGUUCCAUUUAGAACACAGCAUAGGGUUCCAUUUAGAACACAGUAUAGGGUUCCAUUUAGAACACAGUAUAGGGUUCCAUUUAGAACACAGCAUAGGGUUCCAUUUAGAACACAGCAUAGGGUUCCAUUUAGAACACAGCAUAGGCUUCCAUUUAGAACACAGCAUAGGGUUCCAUUUAGAACACAUCCCAUGUCUGAGACAGACACAAAAGCUUUAUAACAGUUAGACCAGUAAUAACAUCAGGCUUGAGAACAGUUCUAACAUGUUAUAGAACAAGACACAGCCUUGAGAACAGUUAUAACAUGUUAUAGAACAACAGGCUUGAGAACAGUUAUAACAUGUUAUAGAACAACAGACUUGAACAGUUAUAACAUGUUAUAGAACAACAGACUUGAACAGUUAUAACAUGUUAUAGAACAACAGGCUUGAGAACAGUUAUAACAUGUUAUAGAACAACAGGCUUGAGAACAGUUAUAACAUGUUAUAGAACAAGACACAGGCUUGAGAACAGUUAUAUGGUUAUAAUAAGACAAUGGCUUGAGAACAGUUAUAACAUGUUAUAGAACAACAGGCGUGAGAACAGUUAUAACAUGUUAUAGAACAAGACACAGGCUUGAGAAGUGUUAUAACAUGUUAUAGAACAACAGGCUUGAACAGUUAUAACAUGUUAUAGAACAACAGGCUUGAGAACAGUUAUAACAUGUUAUAGAACAACAGGCUUGAGAACAGUUAUAACAUGUUAUAGAACAACAGGCUUGAGAACAGUUAUAACAUGUUAUAGAAGAACAGGUUUGAGAACAGUUAUAACAUGUUAUAGAACAACAGACUUGAACAGUUAUAACAUGUUAUAGAACAACAGGCUUGAGAACAGUUAUAACAUGUUAUAGAACAACAGGCUUGAGAACAGUUAUAACAUGUUAUAGAACAACAGGCUUGAGAACAGUUAUAACAUGUUAUAGAAC